GGGAAGUGAUGAGUGGUCGCUACUCGCAUUUAAUAUGCGAGAAGGGGUGUUCGCCUAAAGCCUUACGACAAUUGGCCACCUCCAAUUUUUAACCAUCUGAUCCC